CAAUGCUAGACAUGAGUUCACUAAGAAACUUAUCAAUCAAACCUAUUUCUACCAUCAGCGAAGCAACUGAACUAAUUUCCUCGAGGAAUGGAAAAUUGGCUCUGGUUGGAACUACGAAUAAGAUGUUUAUGGCCGGACGCGGCGGACAGAUAACGGGCAGGCGGGCAGCUGCGGGACUGCUAGUGACGUCACCCACCCUCGGCCGGCUGGCUACACAGCCGAGGCAACCUCCCUCUACCAACCUUGACAUCCGACCACAAGCCAAGAGGUAAUGGGCGGCAUUCGACGGUGUGGAACUCUUCGCGAGCUGAGCUCCUGGUUCGAUGCCACCGACAGGCGUUGAUGACGGUGUCACUGACUGUGCUGUCCGCAUCAGCAGCUGAUCUGCACCGAUGUCGCCUCCGUAAACCACCUCACUGGCGCUGAGCGGCCACAUGGGCAGCCCCGGUUCGCGCGUCACGUCGCUAUUCAAGGCUAGACAUUAAUUUACUAACAAACUUAUCAAUCAAACCUAUUUCCACCAUCAGCGAAGCAACUGAACUAAUUUCCUCGAGGAAUGGAAAAUUGGCUCUGGUUGGAACUACUAAUAAGA